rnacentral:tRNA from 1 species
GGUGAUGUAGACUAAUUGGUUAGGUCUGCUCCACGGAAUGGAGUAGAUGCGGGUUCGAAUCCUCUCUCUCUCA